rnacentral:rRNA from 1 species
UACGAAGGGGGCUAGCGUUGCUCGGAAUCACUGGGCGUAAAGGGUGCGUAGGCGGGUUUUUAAGUCAGAGGUGAAAUCCUGGAGCUCAACUCCAGAACUGCCUUUGAUACUGAGAAUCUUGAGUAUGGGAGAGGUGAGUGGAACUGCGAGUGUAGAGGUGAAAUUCGUAGAUAUUCGCAAGAACACCAGUGGCGAAGGCGGCUCACUGGCCCAUAACUGACGCUGGGGCACGAAAGCGUGGGGAGCAAACAGG